rnacentral:rRNA from 1 species
UACGUAGGGCGCGAGCGUUGUCCGGAUUUAUUGGGCGUAAAGAGCUCGUAGGCGGCUUGUCGCGUCGGCUGUGAAAUCCCGUGGCUCAACUGCGGGUCUGCAGCCGAUACGGGCAGGCUAGAGUCCGGAAGAGGAGAGUGGAAUUCCUGGUGUAGCGGUGAAAUGCGCAGAUAUCAGGAAGAACGACCCGCUGGCGUAAGGCGGCUCUCUAGUACGGUACUGACGCUGAGACGCGAAAGCGUGGGGAGCGAACAGG